rnacentral:rRNA from 1 species
GAUGAAUGCUGGCGGCGUGCCUAAUACAUGCAAGUCGAGCGAACAGAUGAGGAGCUUGCUCCUCUGACGUUAGCGGCGGACGGGUGAGUAACACGUGGAUAACCUACCUAUAAGACUGGGAUAACUUCGGGAAACCGGAGCUAAUACCGGAUAAUAUAUUGAACCGCAUGGUUCAAUAGUGAAAGACGGUUUUGCUGUCACUUAUAGAUGGAUCCGCGCCGCAUUAGCUAGUUGGUAAGGUAACGGCUUACCAAGGCAACGAUGCGUAGCCGACCUGAGAGGGUGAUCGGCCACACUGGAACUGAGACACGGUCCAGACUCCUACGGGAGGCAGCAGUAGGGAAUCUUCCGCAAUGGGCGAAAGCCUGACGGAGCAACGCCGCGUGAGUGAUGAAGGUCUUCGGAUCGUAAAACUCUGUUAUUAGGGAAGAACAAAUGUGUAAGUAACUAUGCACGUCUUGACGGUACCUAAUCAGAAAGCCACGGCUAACUACGU